UCAGGCUCCGGCCGAUCCUCCCACCCUUUGUGUACCUACCUCUGUUGCUUUGGCGGGCCGCGGUCCUCCGCGGCCGCCCCCCUCCCCGGGGGGGUGGCCAGCGCCCGCCAGAGGACCAUCAAACUCCAGUCAGUAAACGAUGCAGUCUGAAAAACAUUUAAUAAACUAAAACUUUCAACAACGGAUCUCUUGGUUCUGGCAUCGAUGAAGAACGCAGCGAAAUGCGAUAAGUAAUGUGAAUUGCAGAAUUCAGUGAAUCAUCGAAUCUUUGAACGCACAUUGCGCCCUUUGGUAUUCCGAAGGGCAUGCCUGUUCGAGCGUCAUUACAACCCUCAAGCUCUGCUUGGUAUUGGGCACCGUCCUUUGCGGGCGCGCCUCAAAGACCUCGGCGGUGGCGUCUUGCCUCAAGCGUAGUAGAACAUACAUCUCGCUUCGGAGCGCAGGGCGUCGCCCGCCGGACGAACCUUCUGAACUUUUCUCAAGGUUGACCUCGGAUCAGGUAGGGAUACCCGCUGAACUUAAGCAUAUCAU
rnacentral:rRNA from 1 species